rnacentral:lncRNA from 1 species
AUUCCCCAAAUUCCCAAAAUUCUGAAUUCCCAAAAUCCCAAAUUCUUCAAAUUCAAAUUCCUGAAAUCCUGAAUUUCCCCAAAAUCCCGAAGUUCCCAAAAUCCCGAAUUCCCCGAAUCGCGUCGACGAGGCCACGCGGGGUCAGGGUUCCCAAAAUUCCCCAAAUUCCCAAAAUUCCUGAAUUCUCAAUCCCCCAAAUCCUGAAAUUCCCAAACCCUGAAAUCCCAAAAUUCCCGAAUUCCUGAAAUUCCCAAAUCCCCGAAUUCCCCAAUUCCUGAUUUCCCCAAAUCUUCCAAUUCCCAAAAUCCUCCCAGAUCCCAAAAUCCCCUUUUUCCCCCCCAUUUUUUUCCCCAAAAUUCCCAUUUUUUCACUGAUUUUCCCAAAAUCCCCAUUUUUCCCCCCAAUUCUGCAGUGAUUUUGCAGACCUGGAGCUCUCAGCAGGACGGGCCCAUCUCAGCUCUGCUGCAGCCCCAAAAUCCCCAAUUCUUCCCCCAUUUUUCCCCCAAUUUUUCCCAAAAUUCCAUUUUUUUUCCCAAAAUUGCCAUUUUUUUCACUGAUUUUCCCAAACUCCCCGUUUUUCACCCCAAUUCUGCAGUGAUUUUACAAACCUGGAGCUGCCAGCAGAACGGGGCUGUGCUGCAGCCCCAAAAUCCCCAUUUUUCCCCCAUUUUUUCCCCAUUUUUUCCCAAAAUUCCAUUUUUUUCCCCCAAAUUCCAUUUUUUUCUCCAUUUUGCCCAAAAUCGCCGUUUUUCCCCCCAAUUCUGCAGUGAUUUUGCAGACCUGGAGCACUCAGCAGGACGGGCCCAUCUCGGCCGUGCUGCUCUUCCAGCUGCCCCUGGAGGAACCCGAGGAUCCCGAGGACUCCUGGAGCCUCCUGGUGAGCAGCACCCUGGAGAGCGCCGUGGUUUAUCGGAGGCUCCUGAGGCGGGGCCUGGCCGAGCCCCUGGAGCUGCCCGGCAGCCGCGGCUCCGACGCCGUCGUUUGUGCCAAAGUCACCGACGUCAACUUCGACGGCGCCGCCGAGAUCCUGCUGGGCACCUACGGCCAGGAGCUGCUCUGUUACAAAUAUUUCGGGUCCAAUUCUGGGGAUUUUGGUCAAUUCCGGCCUCUCUGGGCCCGGCGUUUCCCCUCCCCCCUGCUGGCUCUGGAGCCGCUGGACCUGACGGGGGAUGGGCUGCAGGAGCUCGGCUGUCGUCUGCCUGGGGGGCUCCACGUGCUCCAGGUACCCCCAAAAAACCCCAAAUCCCCAAAAUUCCCCCUUUUUCCCCCUUUUCCCCAAAAAAAAUUGGGAGUUUUUCCCAAAAAAUUUGAAUUUUUUCCCCCAAAAUUCUCAUUUUUUCCUAAAAAUUCAAAGAUUUUCCCCAAAAAUUUGGAGUUUUUUCCAGAAAAAUUCAGUUUUUCCCCAAAUCCCCAAAGUUCUCCCAAGUUUCUCCCCUGAAUCCCCAAAAUUCACCCAAAAUUUCCUCCAAAAUUUCCCCAAAAUUCCCCAAAUUCUCCCCAAACUGGACCUGACGGGGGAUGGGCUGCAGGAGCCGUCGUCUGCCUGGGGGGGCUCCACGUGCUCCAGGUACCCCCAAAAACCCCAAAAACCCCAAAAUCCC